rnacentral:rRNA from 1 species
UACAGAGGUCCCAAGCGUUGUUCGGAUUCACUGGGCGUAAAGGGUGCGUAGGUGGCGAGGUAAGUCGGAUGUGAAAGCUCGGAGCUCAACUCCGAAAUGGCAUUGGAAACUACCUUGCUCGAGGGUUGGAGGGGGGACUGGAAUGCUUGGUGUAGCAGUGAAAUGCGUAGAAUAUCAAGCGGAACACCAGUGGCGAAGGCGAGUCCCUGGACAACUCCUGACACUGAGGCACGAAAGCUAGGGGAGCAAACAGG